UACGAGCAUAUCACGUUGACACACCGGUUUUCGUACGAUGACCAGAGUUAAGCAACAUUGAGUCUGGUCAGUACCUGGAUGGGUGACGGCUUGCGAAAACCACGCGC